rnacentral:misc_RNA from 1 species
GAUGAAGAACGCAGCGAAAUGCGAUACGUAAUGUGAAUUGCAGAAUUCAGUGAAUCAUCGAAUCUUUGAACGCAUAUUGCGCUCUCUGGUAUUCCGGAGAGCAUGCUUGUUUGAGUAUCAGUAAACACCUCAACUUCCAUAUCUUUUUUGAAAUGGGAGUUGGACUGGAGUGAUCCCAACGCUUUUCCUCACCGAAAAGUGGCGGGUUACUUGAAAUGCAGGUGCAGCUGGACUUUUCUCUGAGCUAUAAGCAUAUCUAUUUAGUCUGCCUAAAAAACAGAUUAUUACCUUUGCUGCAGCUAACAUAAAGGAGAUUAGUUCUUGUGCUGACUGAUGCAGGAUUCACAAAGACGGCUUCGGCCGACUUUGUAAACUCGAUCUCAAAUCAAGUAAGACUACCCGCUGAACUUAAGCAUAUCAAUAAGCGGAGGA